rnacentral:rRNA from 1 species
GACGAACGCUGGCGGCGUGCCUAAUACAUGCAAGUCGAGCGGAAAGGCUCUGCUCUUGUGGCGUGCUCGAGUGCCGCAAAGGUGUGUGUAACGCGUGUAGACUCUCCUUUUCUUUGGGGUAACUCCUGGAGAAUCGGGCUCUAACACCAUAUAAGAUCCUGAAGCACAGUGGGGAUUGGAAAAAUUCGGCGGUUCGGGAUGGACUCGCGGCUUAUCAGCUUGUUGGUGGGGUAGUGGCUUACCAAGGCUUUGACGGGAAGCCGGCCUGCGAGGGUGACCGGCCACAAGGGGACUGAGGGAGGGCCCAGACGGCAACGGGAGGCAGCAGGGGGAAAUAUUGCACAAUAGGCGGAAGCCGGAUGCAGCAACGCCGCGUGCGGAAUGACUGCUUUCGGGGUAUAAACCUCUUUCGCCUGUGACGAAGAGUGAGUGACGGUAAUUAGUAAGAAAGCAACGGCUAACUACGUG